rnacentral:lncRNA from 1 species
CCCUUUUCAUAUCGCUGAGAUGUAAGAGACCAUAGGAGACUGCCAUGUAGACAACCAAAGGCUGCUGUUAGUUUCUGUAUCUUCUUCAGAUAGUGGGUGGUGUUUCUCGUUUUCCUUUAUUCUUUUUAAGUGAAUCUUAUUUCACACGUCUACUCCCACUUUCUUGGCAGAGAAGUGGUCCCUCAGUUUCUAAUUUAGUACUGUUGGUACAUCCAGGCAGUGCCACACGAGGUGCUCAGCCACACAUCAGGACCAUGCCAGGCUCCCAGCCCUGAGGCCAAGGUGCCCAGGCCUGCUGCCAGGCAGGCCUCAGGCCGGCAGCCAUUUUCUCUCUGAGGUGUUCAGCCGCCAUUUUGUGACAGAACUUGGCUCGUCACAAACGGGUCACCUCCAUAACUGCUCCAAUUGUUUGGAAAAGAAUCAUAAAAAUUCAUUUCCGCUAUUGGACCAAUUAGUGACAGAAAUUCUGCCUAAGAUGAAUUUAGAAUCAAUAACUAAGCUAUUGGAUGAUCGUAAAAGGCAAGGAAAGGAAAAUGCUGUCCUAUCCCAAGGAAUACAAGAGAGUUAUCAAACAUGGCUGUGUCCCUCUUGCCACUUUGAUGCUGAGGGACUCGUCCAGCUGUAA